CGAUCUGCUGGGGAGAGAUAAAAUGAAUAUGGGUGUCGAUGCCGCCCGCUGUCAGAAUCAGUCCUUCGCCGGCGAGCGCCUCUGUGGAGGCUCCGACCGUCAUGCCCGGCGUCACGCCGUCCAUAACCGCUGGAUUUCCGGCCUUUCCGAUUCCUGCAAUCCUGCUGUCCUUGAUUCCGAUAUCUGCCUUGUAAAUACCGGUGCAGUCCAGCACCAGCGCGUUGGUGAUGACAAGGUCGAGAUCGCCGUCCGCGCUGGUCGUCUUCACCGACUGUCCCAUACCAUCUCU
rnacentral:sRNA from 1 species